GCUUGCACUGGAGGAUAAACAUUUUAUCGAGCGGCGACGGGGUGAGUAACACGUAGGUAACCUACCCAAAAGAGGGGGAUAACAUCUGGAAACAGGUGCUAAUACCGCAUAAACAACAUUUUAUCGCAUGAUAGAUGUUUAAAAGAUGGUUUCGGCUAUCACUUUUGGAUGGACCUGCGGCGUAUUAGUUAGUUGGUGAGGUAACGGCUCACCAAGACGAUGAUACGUAGCCGAACUGAGAGGUUGAUCGGCCACACUGGGACUGAGACACGGCCCAGACUCCUACGGGAGGCAGCAGUAGGGAAUCUUCCACAAUGGACGAAAGUCUGAUGGAGCAACGCCGCGUGAGUGAAGAAGGUUUUCGGAUCGUAAAACUCUGUUGUUGGAGAAGAAUGUAUCUGAUAGUAACUGAUCAGGUAGUGACGGUAUCCAACCAGAAAGCCACGGCUAACUACGUGC
rnacentral:rRNA from 1 species